GAAACCCUGACGCAGCAACGCCGCGUGAAGGAUGAAGGUUUUCGGAUUGUAAACUUCUUUGAUGAGGGACGAAGAAAGUGACGGUACCUCAAAAACAAGCCACGGCUAACUACGUGCCAGCAGCCGCAGUAAUACGUAGGUGGCGAGCGUUGUCCGGAAUUACUGGGUGUAAAGGGCGUGUAGGCGGGUUAAAAAGUCAGAUGUGAAACCCCUCGGCUUAACUGAGGGACUGCAUCUGAAACUUUUGAUCUUGAGUGCUGGAGAGGAAAGCGGAAUUCCCAGUGUAGCGGUGAAAUGCGUAGAGAUUGGGAGGAACACCAGUGGCGAAGGCGGCUUUCUGGACAGUAACUGACGCUGAGGCGCGAAAGCGUGGGGAGCAAACAGGAUUAGAUACCCUGGUAGUCCACGCCGUAAACGAUGGAUACUAGGUGUAGGAGGUAUCGACCCCUUCUGUGCCGGAGUUAACACAAUAAGUAUCCCACCUGGGGAGUACGGCCGCAAGGUUGAAACUCAAAGGAAUUGACGGGGGCCCGCACAAGCAGUGGAGUAUGUGGUUUAAUUCGAAGCAACGCGAAGAACCUUACCAGGGUUUGACAUCCCUCGAAUCAGGUAGAGAUAUCUGAGUCCUUCGGGACGGGGAGACAGGUGGUGCAUGGUUGUCGUCAGCUCGUGUCGUGAGAUGUUGGGUUAAGUCCCGCAACGAGCGCAACCCUUGUUGUUAGUUGCCAGCACGUAAAGGUGGGCACUCUAGCGAAACUGCCGGCGACAAGUCGGAGGAAGGUGGGGACGACGUCAAAUCAUCAUGCCCCUUAUAUCCUGGGCUACACACGUACUACAAUGGCUGUAACAGAGGGAAGCGAAGGAGCAAUUCGGAGCAAAUCCCCAAAAGCAGCCUCAGUUCAGAUCGUGGGCUGCAACCCGCCCACGUGAAGUCGGAAUUGCUAGUAAUGGCAGGUCAGCAUACUGCCGUGAAUACGUUCCCGGGCCUUGUACACACCGCCCGUCACACCAUGAGAGUCUGCAACACCCGAAGUCGGUAGUUUAACCAAAAAUGGAGAG
rnacentral:rRNA from 1 species